rnacentral:lncRNA from 1 species
GCUGGAGGGAAUGUGGAACUGAGAUCUGGCCCUUAGUAUAAUCUUCUCGUCUCUUUCUCUCUCCCUCUCCCUCUCUUUCUGUAUAGAUCUGGCACGGCCUUGCUCUCUCGACUCCCAGAUCUUUGUUUCGGUGGCGGCGGCCAGAAAGAGUAAGAGAGCGCUGUGCUCUCAUUUCCCUCUGUCCCCCCCCCCUUUAAAAGUCUCCUCUUCCAACUUUCCUCCAGUUAUUCCCUCCUCAACCCGACUGACAGCAUUUGCUGAAAAAUCUACAGCUUUGUUUGUCUUAUAUGGUGGAAAUAUGGUCAUUUGCAUUGAGAAGACCUGCCAGAAUAGCAGAACAUCUGGAAAGCUGCCCAAAGUCACCAAUUCAUCAAGCCUGUUCCCCAUGUGAACAGGUACCACUGAAAGUAGCUUACGCAAUAGCUCCCCAAAUUCUGGGAAUAAUGGAAAAGUGCAGUGAACUAAGAAAACACGAAAGCCUUGCCUGA